UGAUGAUGAUGAUGAUGAUGAUGAUGAUGUGUACAUUUAUUAAUAUUAGUAGUUGUUAUUACUAUGCAAUGGCUACAUCAUCAUCAUCAUAAUAAUCA
rnacentral:miRNA from 1 species